UCCACUAGGUGGAAGCACGCAACAAGGCAAGAAGCAGUUUUUGUUUUUUCACUUGCGCGUUGCAGUUUUUCGGUGUUUUUGUGAGGUUCUUUCAAGCAAGAAAAAAAUGUCUGAUAACAAGAAACGUCUCACUGCUGAAGAAGCACUUGAAUUAUUCUGGAGCUUGCCAGAGAACUCUAACAACAGUGAUGAUGAAGAGUUCGAAAGCAGUGAAGAUGAAGUUUGGGAUCUACCACCCGAUGAGUCCAGCGAGAACGAGAGUGAUGUUGAAAACGCUCCCCCCGCUUCGUCGAGCAUGCUGAAGAAAAGACGGCGUCCACCAUAUGCAG